rnacentral:lncRNA from 9 species
UAUUUUUAAGGUUGAACUAAAAUUCUUUCUCGGACAACCAGCUAUCACCAGGCUCGUUAGGCUUUUCACCUCUACCUACAAGUCUUCUCACUAUUUUGCCACAUAGAUGAGUUGGUUCUUUUAAACUGCUCAUAGGUAGCUCGUCUGGUUUCGGGGUAUCUAGCUAAAGUUCUCUUUGUUAGAUUUUUUCUGGUUAAACCAUUAUGCAAAAGGUAGAAGGGGUAAUCUUUGCUUUUUUUUACUUUUAUUUUAUUCUUUCAUCUUUCCCUUACGGUACUAUCUCUAUAGCGUCAGGAUAAAAAUUUCUAUCUCCUAUACUUUAAUGUUAGGUGAAUGUUUUAUUUUAUUUUGGUGUAUUUUUGUAUUUGUUUAAUAUGUUGAGCUAGCUUUGGUUCAAAGUACCCAUAUAUUAUGGGAUCUUCUAGGUGUAAACUAGGUGCUUUAGUUUAAGCUAUGCUUUGGUAAUCCAAGCACACUUUCCAGUAUGCUUACCUUGUUACGACUUGUCUCUUCUUGCAUGGUUGUGUAAUUGAAUAUAGGUUAUUUUUAUUACUACAUGCUUGAGGAGGGUGACGGGCGGUGUGUGCGUGCUUCAUGGCCUUAUUCAAUCAAGCACUCUAUUCUUGAUUUACUGCUAAAUCCUCCUUUGGUUUUUAGUUUCAUAAAAACUUUCGUAUGGUGGAUAUUCUUAUGUGUUAUGAUUGUGCUUACUAUUGUUCCUUUUUAGGGUUGGUAAGGUCUAUCGGGGUUUAUCGAUUAUAGAACAGGCUCCUCUAGGUGGAUGUGAAGCACCGCCAAGUCCUUUGAGUUUUAGGCAGUUGCGAGUAGUACUCUGGCGAAUAGUUUUGUUAUGUAACUAUUUGGGCAUGUUGUUGAGUCUCCAUGUGUUUGUGUUUUUUGCAGUUUUUUUCUUGUUGAUUUCUGGUCGUAUAACAUUGUGGUCAGAAAAGAUGCUUGAUAUGAUUUCAAUUUUCUUAAUGUUACUGAGCUUGGACUUGUAGCUCAGGAUGUUAUCAAUCUUAG